UACGUAGGGAGCAAGCGUUGUCCGGAAUCAUUGGGCGUAAAGCGCGCGUAGGUGGCCCCCGUAAGUCCGCUGUGAAAGUCAAAGGCUCAACCUUUGAAAGCCGGUGGAUACUGUGGGGCUAGAGUACGGAAGAGGCGAGUGGAAUUCCUGGUGUAGCGGUGGAAUGCGCAGAUAUCAGGAGGAACACCAAUAGCGAAGGCAGCUCGCUGGGACGUUACUGACACUGAGGCGCGAAAGCGUGGGGAGCGAACAGG
rnacentral:rRNA from 1 species